rnacentral:rRNA from 1 species
AGCGCAGGCGGACCGGCAAGUUGGAAGUGAAAACUAUGGGCUCAACCCAUAAAUUGCUUUCAAAACUGCUGGCCUUGAGUAGUGCAGAGGUAGGUGGAAUUCCCGGUGUAGCGGUGGAAUGCGUAGAUAUCGGGAGGAAUACCAGUGGCGAAGGCGGUCUACUGGGCACCAACUGACGCUGAGGCUCGAAAGCAUGGGUAGCAAACA